rnacentral:rRNA from 1 species
CAGUCGCCGCGGUAAUACGUAGGGUGCGAGCGUUAAUCGGAAUUACUGGGCGUAAAGCGUGCGCAGGCGGUUAUAUAAGACAGAUGUGAAAUCCCCGGGCUCAACCUGGGACCUGCAUUUGUGACUGUAUAGCUAGAGUACGGUAGAGGGGGAUGGAAUUCCGCGUGUAGCAGUGAAAUGCGUAGAGAUGCGGAGGAAUACCGAUGGCGAAGGCAGCCCCCUGGGCCAAUACUGACGCUCAUGCACGAAAGCGUGGGGAGCAAACAGGAUUAGAUACCCCCGUAGUCCCUGUCUCUUAUAC